AAAAGUACAAAGUAACAUAUAUAAGAAAUAACAGACAAAAAAUUAUCUAUAAACAACAUAUUCAAAUACAACUUGAAUAAUACCUCAUAGAUAUAUAUAUAUAUAUAAAUAACAAUAUUUUACAGUCAUUAUAAAUGGACGACAUGAAAAGUAUCACAGAUACCUGACUGAUUAAUUGCUGAUUAAAAAAACAAUUAACCAUAUUAAAUAAUACAUAUUAUAUUGUGCACAUUUAAUAACAUAUAGAUACCAUACACUUGACUGUCUUGAGUAUUUAAAAUAAAACACACAACUAUGCCGUCUCAUUUACUAUAGAAUUGGUAUUCAAUAUUUCACAUACUAAGGUAAAAAGUCUAACAGAUAUCAGUUUUGUGUAGAUUCUACUGAAAGGUCCCAGUUUUAAACAUGUUCAUACAUUAUGAAAAUUAGCGAUGCAAUGCACCAUAUUGCCAAAACAAAAAAUCUUGUUUAAUUGUUUUAAUAAGAUUCUUAUUUGUAAAUAUUUACAAAAUAAAUUUUAUGGAUUAAAUAAACUUCAGUGUUCAAUUCUGUUUAAACUAAUUCAGAUAAAACAAGAUAUAUGGACCAUUAUUAUUCAGAUCAAGUUUUCAACAUCUAUAUUGAGCUCAC
rnacentral:lncRNA from 1 species